UACAGAGGUCUCAAGCGUUGUUCGGAUUCAUUGGGCGUAAAGGGUGCGUAGGCGGCGCGGUAAGUCAAAGGUGAAAUCCCUCGGCUCAACUGAGGAACUGCCUUUGAAACUGUCGGGCUUGAGGCCGGGAGAGGGUAGUGGAAUUCCCAGUGUAGCGGUGAAAUGCGUAGAUAUUGGGAGGAACACCAGUGGCGAAGGCGGCUACCUGGACCGGUUCUGACGCUGAGGCGCGAAAGCGUGGGUAGCAAACAGG
rnacentral:rRNA from 1 species